UUUAUUGGCUCCCUCACUAAUCCAUCGAACCGAAAAUUGUUAGCGUUCCAGUCAAAAUGACUCCCUUACCGCGCCACACCGCAAGGAGAAAAGGAAACCCCCUCCCUUUUGCCUCUCUCCAGUGGUUGCUGCAGAUGCCCAUCUUUUACGUCUCUACCCGAUGAGUCAAUGAAGAGUGGAAAGGGUCGUAGGACCACCGGUGGUCUCCGAUUGGGUUAAAAAGGAAAGCCCUCCCCAUGCCGCCAGGCGCUCUCUGGCUCAGUCUAGGACGGGAUCGGAGGCGAGAGCGCAAGCGCGGACAGGCUUUCAGGCGUCCCCGGAGGCGGGGCGACCCUCUAAACCAGCGAAGGCCUGGCGUACCCCAAGUAGUUAUUGACAUUCUGUGUAUGGUGCCGGAGGGUAGACCGAGACAGAGGGGUAGCUGCCAGUGGCUCUGUCUCCGCUGCUAUCCCUUAUUCCUCUCCACCUCGAAUCCCCACAACGCCAGGGGAAUUUUAAUAACCCAAACUCAACCCUUUACGUAGAUUGGCCCUGCCGACGGUCUUCGGACCCUGUCAAGUUCGCCGGCGUCCUUUCCCUGCUCCGCUCCACCUCUAAAUUCAGCCAAAAGAGCACUCUUCAGUUUGCACAAAAGGAAGGGUACACACCUAGGAGUGGAAUUCCUGAAUCAUACUUGGUAUGAUGGAUUUCGACAAGUCCAGCUCACAGCAGGACAGCGGGACCCAGUGGAGAUGGAGUAGUUGCCCCUCGUUCAGGGUUGCCCCCCCAUCCCAGUGGGAUGAGUCACCGCAGAUAUGAGUAGAUAAUUCCUGUCUCAGGCAGAUUAUCUAUAUCAAGAAGAGCCUUUCAUAAUCUCAUCAAGAGCAGACCAACAGUCCAGGAAAACUGUCCUUUUAGCAGAUGAAAGAAAAUGACACUUUACUUUUCCUGCUGAAUAACUGUUGAAUUUCCUGUGGUUGCUGUGACAAAUUACUACGGACUCAGUGGCUUAAGAUGACAGAAAUGUCUUCUACUGUUCUGGAGAUUUAUUUACUUUUCCUUGAGUGAGAGAGAGUGAGAGCGAGAGAAUCUCAAGCAGGCUCCCCACUGACCUCAGAGCCUGAUACAGGUCUUGAUCUCACGUCCCUGAGAUUAUGACCUGAGCCAAAACCAAAGCCCUGAUGCUUAACUGACCGCUGCCCAGGUGCCACCCUGAUGGCUUUCCUUGCCUUGUGAUCACCAACUCUUCAACCUUCCAGGCCGGCAUCUUCAAAUCUUUCUCUGCUUGUCUUUCCAUCACCUUCUCCUGUUAGUGUCAAAUCUCCCUCUGCUUUCCUUCUCUAGGGACACGUGUAUUGCAUUUAGAGCCCUCCCCCAGAUCAUCCAGAACAAUCUCCCCAUUUUAAGAUCCUUCAUUUAAAAACCGGGCCAAAGACCCUUUUCCACAUAAGGCAAUGUUCAUGGAUUCCAGAGAUUAGGACAGGAAUAGCUUUUGGGCAGCUAUCUUCAGCCUUCCACAGAAACUCUGUUACUGAAUCAUUCAGCCAGUAUUUACUGAACACCUGCUGGGUGCCAGGGAUUUGUCUAGGCACUGAAAAUAGAACUGUGCCCAAGACAGAAACCACUAGCCUCCUGGAGCUGACAUUCCAAGGCCACCCUCCAAAAUGGUAGCUCCAAGCCCUGUGUGGUGGCUACUGAGAACUUGAAAUGGGACUGGUCCCAGCUGAGAUGUGCUGUGAUAUAAAAUACACACUGGAUUUUGAAUAUUGUGCAUAUACACAAAAAGAACGUUACACAGCACAAUAAUUUUUGGAUUUUUUAAAAGAUUUCUUGGGCACCUGGGUGGCUCGGUGGAUUAAGCCCCUGCCUUCGGCUCAGGUCAUGGUCUCAGGGUCCUAGGAUCGAGUCCCUCAUUGGGCUCUCUGCUCAGCGGGGAGCCUGCUUCCCUCUCUCUCUCUCUGCCUGCCUCUCUGUCUACUGUGAUCUCUCUCUGUCAAAUAAUAAAUAAAAUCUUUAAAAAAAAAGAUUUCUUAAUUUUUCUGUAAUCUCUAUACCCAAUGUGGGGCUCAACUCACAACCCUGAGAUUAAGAGUCAUAUGCUCCACCGACUGAGCCAUCCAGGUGCUCCUAAUUUUCAGAUGUUGAUUACAGGUUGAAGUGAUAACAUUUGGGACAUAUUGGGUUCAAUCAGGUAGGCUGUUAAAAUUAAUUUCGCUUGCUUCUUUUUGGUUUCUUGUAAUAGAGUUAUUGGAACACUUAUAAUUACGUAUAUAGCUUGCUUGUAUUUCUUUUUUUUAAAAAUUUUAUUUAUUUGAAAGACAGAGAUCACAAGUAGGCAGAGAGGAGGGGAGGGAAGAAGGCUCCCUGCUGAGCGAUUCGGGGCUUAAUCCUAGGACCUUGGGAUCAUGACCUGAGCUGAAGGCAGAGGCUUUAACCCACUGAAACACCCAGGCGCCCCUUGCAUUGUAUUUCUGUUGGGCGGCCUAAGGGGAGGGAGCCAAUGGACAGUUACCACAAUAAAUAAGUACAUAUUAUGGUAUGUUAGGAAGUGAUAAUUAUUUUAUUUUUAGAAAAAAUUUUUAGAUGUUUUUCUUUAUUAGAGAUCACAAGUAGGCAGAGAGAGGCAGGCAGAGGGAGAAAGGGGGAAGUAGGCUCCCUGCUGAGCAGAGAGCCUGAUGUGGGGCUCGAUCCCAGGACCCUGAGAUCACCACCCCAGCUGAAAGCAGAGGCUUAACCCACUGAGUCACCCAGGCACCCUGGAAGUGAUAAUUUCUAUGGAAAAUAAAGUUCAGGGUAAGAGAG